ensembl:miRNA MIR4268 microRNA 4268
AUGCACAUCAGGUUCUAGAGGUUUUGCCCUAGCGGCUCCUCCUCUCAGGAUGUGAUGUCACCUG